UGGAAGACUAUUGAUUUAGUUGA
rnacentral:miRNA from 1 species